UGGGGAAUUUUGGACAAUGGGCGAAAGCCUGAUCCAGCAAUGCCGCGUGUGUGAAGAAGGCCUUCGGGUUGUAAAGCACUUUUGUCCGGAAAGAAAUCCUUGGCUCUAAUACAGUCGGGGGAUGACGGUACCGGAAGAAUAAGCACCGGCUAACUACGUGCCAGCAGCCGCGGUAAUACGUAGGGUGCAAGCGUUAAUCGGAAUUACUGGGCGUAAAGCGUGCGCAGGCGGUUUGCUAAGACCGAUGUGAAAUCCCCGGGCUCAACCUGGGAACUGCAUUGGUGACUGGCAGGCUAGAGUAUGGCAGAGGGGGGUAGAAUUCCACGUGUAGCAGUGAAAUGCGUAGAGAUGUGGAGGAAUACCGAUGGCGAAGGCAGCCCCCUGGGCCAAUACUGACGCUCAUGCACGAAAGCGUGGGGAGCAAACAGGAUUAGAUACCCUGGUAGUCCACGCCCUAAACGAUGUCAACUAGUUGUUGGGGAUUCAUUUCCUUAGUAACGUAGCCAACGCGUGAAGUUGACCGCCUGGGGAGUACGGUCGCAAGAUUAAAACUUAAGGAAUUGACGGGGUCAUAGCUGUUUCCU
rnacentral:rRNA from 1 species